ensembl:lncRNA
AUGCCUCUGGCCGGAGACGAGCUGGUCUGCCCCAAGUUCCAGCCCAACAUCUUCGACUCCACCCGCUGCCACGACUGCUUGCGCCAGAAACAGCUGCACCACACCUGUGCCGAGCGCGCUCCCGAGCAGAGCGUCUCCGUGGCCGUGCGCAGCGACGACAAGGACACCAGCGCCAAGGAUGACUCAGAUGUGCUGUCAGUGGUGAGUAGCUACUGUGAUGUCAGCAGAGGGGGGCAGGGCUUUGAGGACGGCUCCAUCUGCAUCUUGAGUCCGGACUGUGACCUCUACCUGUGUGACGGAGACGACGACCAAAGCUCGGACAGUCAGGGUGACGAUUCCAUCUACAGUAGCUCUACUGGAACAGAGGAAUACUCCAGCCUCCUUCAUCAUCCUUCAUCUUGCCAUAGAAUGACCCGCUUGGAUCAGCCACCAUACCGGGCAAGCCCCCGAGGAUGGACGGAGAUGUCCCAGAGUCGCCGUGAUGGUCUUGGGCAGUUCGGUGUUUCUCACGGCAGCCAGAAGGAACGGAGGGAACGGGAGAGUGGAUAUUUCUCUCUGGGAAGGGCUGCGGGCAGCAGAGCUUUACUUGAUCAAAGCCCUCCCUAUAGGCAUUCAGAGAGAGGACAUCCCCUGCCAAGCAACAAAAGCCCCGAACCCAAAGCCACCAUUCCAUUUCGAAACCCAGAUCUGGGUGUCGCUUCCGAAAGGAGGACCUCUGAGUUUCAGAAUGCUGAACAAAUUGAAGAAAACUAUCCUCCAGAGCCACUGGAUCUCAGUCUGGAGGUGGAGGCCCUCGCCGGGCCCCGGGCCCUGAGUCCCACCCCUUUCAAACAAGCGGAAUCACUCAGUGGCUCUGGUCGAAGAGCUGGACGGAAUGCCCACACAUCUCCCAUACGGCAGUCUGGAAUGCUCGACUCUCCCCAAAGAGGUUCUGUCCUCUCCCGUUCUUCCUCUCCUUCCCCGUUCAGACGGGCUGAGUCCAUCUCCUCUCUAAACACAGUUGGCUUUCGGUCGGGUGGAGUUUCGCAGGGACCAGAUCGGGCAUUGGUCAAUCCGGCACGGAACAGCUACUCUGGAAACCUCCAAUCGUUUGCGAGCACCGCAGGCACCGUCAGUAGCAUCAAUAAGUCUCUCUCUCACAUGGAUCUGAGAGGCACUUUACGGAAACCCGAGACCGACCGCUCCUUCCCAGAGAACCGUGGAAGCUCAUCUCCUUCCAGACGGAGUUAUGAAGGUCCUGCUGUGAGGAAAACCGAAACAAAAAGCCCUGGUCACGACAGACAGUGUUCCUUCUCCUCAGUGGGACGCUAUGAUUCAAGAAGCCAGUCGCCUUCCAGACAGAGUUAUGAUAGGAAAACCGAAACGAAAGGUCUUUCAUAUGAGCGUGGACCUGACAGACCGGGAAUCUCCUCCUCUUCCACCUUGAAGAGCCACUUUGAUUCCCGAAGUCAGUCCCCUUCCAGACGAGGCUAUGAUAGGAAAACUGAAACGAAAAGUCUUUCAUAUGAGCGUGGACCUGACAGACCGGGAAUCUCCUCCUCUUCCACCUUGAAGAGCCACUUUGAUUCCCGAAGUCAGUCCCCUUCCAGACGAGGCUAUGAUAGGAAAACCGAAACGAAAAGUCUUUCAUAUGAGCGUGGUCUUGACAGACAGGUAAUCUCCUCUUCUUCCUCCUUGAAGAGCUGCUAUGAUUCCCGAAGCCAGUCCCCUGUGCGGAGGAUAGAGUCCAAUGGCAUAUCAAGUCAGAUUCAAGAGAGUCGACGAAGUGCGUCUCCAGUCAGAAAGGGCUAUGGAGCACCAAGCCAAUCAGAUCCAAGAUCAAUGUCUAAUGGGUGGAGCCAUGAGAGAAAAAGCCCCUCCACAUCCAGAAAAAGCUAUGAAACACAAAGCCAAGCCACAAUAAAAAAAACAGAAGCAAAAAGCUCCCUUCACAGCUACAACCGAGAGAGCCGACACAGUUCCCCAAGUAGAGGUCAUCACCAAAUCCCUGGGCCAUCAUCACUUCGAAAGUCCGAAACAAGCCAGUCCUUGAAAAACCGUGGCUCUGAAAGCCGCAGUCCUUCCCCCGUAGCUCAUAGCCAAUCUCCUCCUCGCAAGUCAGAGAGUGGGCGGAGCCCCUCUUUGUCUACAUUGAGGCGUGAGAUUGCAGACCACGCCCCUCUGAGGAAUACUGUGAGUGGCUCCGCCUCUUAUGUAAGAAACACAAUUAGUAGCAAAUCACAGCACGAUUCACCGGGACGCUGGAGAGACUCCGCCCACUCUCUUCACAGCCAGUCAGUCUCACGAAACUCCUCCCCCUCACGCCACAGUAGUGAGAAGAAGCCAAUUGAUUCCUUUAAGAAAACUGCCUGGGAAACGCCACGAGACGGAAGUAAGAAGAGCAGUGUGAGGCAGAACCUAGAAGCACAGAGCUCCAUGUCUGACAACCGACGAGCACAGAGUCGACACAGAAGCCCCUCGCCUCCGGUCCAAAGACACACAUCUUCUCAGAGCUCCAUGGACUCCGAGUCGAGUCACCUCUCGGCCGGGUCAUCGGGUCUCAACCGGGAGGAGUAUGCCAUGAUGGCUGACCUUCCCAAGGUCAAAACGGUCUUCCAGAGGGAGAGUCCAAGCCACCUGAGAAGGAUGGAGAGCAGACAGAAACGAGAGCUUUCCCGCUACAAACCAGCCAGUCACUCCCAGAGCAAAGCUCCUUCAGACUGGGAUGAACUGGAGGAAGACAGAGACAGUGGUACACUAUCAAGGGCUCACUCGUCCAGCUCCCUACACACACAGAGAGCGAGCAGUCCGGCCGCAGAUCAGACGGAGUCCGGCAAAAACCUGUCUAGAGCGUCAGGACAGAAACAGAAAACACACAGACCGUCGGUGUAUUUCUCCUGCAGCGUGGAGCAGGCCGAUGAUGAACCAAUGCAACAGGCACGUCAUAAACACUCGACACUCACCCACUAA